UACGUAGGGUGCAAGCGUUGUCCGGAAUUAUUGGGCGUAAAGAGCUCGUAGGCGGUUUGUCGCGUCUGCUGUGAAAUCCCGAGGCUCAGCCUCGGGCCUGCAGUGGGUACGGGCAGACUAGAGUGCGGUAGGGGAGAUUGGAAUUCCUGGUGUAGCGGUGGAAUGCGCAGAUAUCAGGAGGAACACCGAUGGCGAAGGCAGAUCUCUGGGCCGUAACUGACGCUGAGGAGCGAAAGCGUGGGGAGCGAACAGG
rnacentral:rRNA from 1 species